AGUGAACGCUGGCGGUAGGUCUAACACAUGCAAGUCGAACGGCAGCACAGUAAGAGCUUGCUCUUACGGGUGGCGAGUGGCGGACGGGUGAGGAAUACAUCGGAAUCUACUUUUUCGUGGGGGAUAACGUAGGGAAACUUACGCUAAUACCGCAUACGACCUACGGGUGAAAGCAGGGGAUCUUCGGACCUUGCGCGAUUGAAUGAGCCGAUGUCGGAUUAGCUAGUUGGCGGGGUAAAGGCCCACCAAGGCGACGAUCCGUAGCUGGUCUGAGAGGAUGAUCAGCCACACUGGAACUGAGACACGGUCCAGACUCCUACGGGAGGCAGCAGUGGGGAAUAUUGGACAAUGGGCGCAAGCCUGAUCCAGCCAUACCGCGUGGGUGAAGAAGGCCUUCGGGUUGUAAAGCCCUUUUGUUGGGAAAGAAAAGCAGCAGGUUAAUACCCCGCUGUUCUGACGGUACCCAAGGAAUAAGCACCGGCUAACUUCGUG
rnacentral:rRNA from 1 species